AGGGAGGAGAAAGCGAGGGGGGGCGGAUCGGACAGCUCUCGGAGCAGCACCAGAGGUUGCCGGGCUCUUCCCCGCCCGCCAAGUCACGGGCAGGCUCGAGCUACGAAACCGAAAGUACGAACAGAAACCGAGGAAGGGCCGUGGAAAGAUCGCUUGGAUCCCAUCCUCUCUCCAGGGCAGAAGGCGACCUGGAGGCAGGAGGAGGAGAAUCUCUCUCUGUCUCUCUGUCUCCCCCCGCCCCCCCGUCGGAGGUCCAGCUAUCCCUGUCUAUCUCCAGGCUUCCGUUCAAGGCAGAAUUCUUCUUGACACUGCCCGCCUUCUCUCGAAGAGGCCGAAACCUCCCUAGAUCCACUUUCCCGUACAUCCUACAUAGACCUCUUUACAAGCCACCUUUCUAUCUCGAAUGGAUUCUUUCUACAAGGUCAUGGCACUGGAAAACAGCCCCAUAACAAGUUUCAGAAAAGAAAGUUGGAUCCAAAUGGAAAAAAGAAUUCUUCUAAGUGAGACAAGAGGUGAAACUGAAGUUGGACCAUGGACUGGACAUUCAUACCAAAACCCUUUAACUUCCUUACAUGGGGGCUCUGUGGUGGCUACCUGGGAGUGCCUCUACUUUGGGUAAAAUACACUGCCAUUUUUCUUACAGACUUGCAAAUUAGGAAAGGCAGUAACCACUGGAGAAGGUGAGUGCAUAAAUGAUGGGGUAUCCAUAACAUGAUUGCAGAUGUCCAAUAAGUUUGAAAUUAUUGGGAAAUUAAAUAUUUUUUCUAUGAUCAUUAUUAUUCCAAAAAAGAAACAUCAAACAUCACUAUAGCAGGGACAGGGGUUUAGCUCAGUGGUUCUGCUGCCUGCCUGGCAAGUGGAAGGACCCAAGUUUGAUCCCCAGUACCAAAAAGAAAAAUCACUAUAGCAGCUAAGUGUAUUAGUGAGCUUUCUCACUGUGAAGACACAACUCCUGACAUCCACAACCUAAAGAAGGGGAGGUUCUCCCA